GCAACUCGACUUCAUGAAGCCGGAAUCGCUAGUAAUGGCGUAUCAGCUACGACGCCGUGAAUACGUUCCCGGGCCUUGUACACACCGCCCGUCACAUCAUGGGAGUCGCUUGUAGCCGAAGUACACGUGCCAACCCGCAAGGGAAGCAGUGUCCUACGCUAUGAGCGGUAACUGGGAUGAAGUCGUAACAAGGUAGCCGUAGUGGAACCUGCGGCUGGAUCACCUCCUUUC
rnacentral:rRNA from 1 species